AAUUGGAAACAAUAAAGAGGAGAGAGAUUCUGUCCCUGAGAUAAAAAUCUAGAAGAUACUUUAUUAAUAAAGUAUCUUCUAGAUUUUUAUCUCAGGGACAGAAUCUCUCACCUCUUUAUUGUUUCCAAGU